AGAUAUGAUCCAGAGUACCACGGGACACGUGAAACCCUGUGGGAAGCAGGAGGGACCACCCUCCAAGGCUAAAUACUACCUAGUGACCGAUAGCGUAUAGUACCGUGAGGGAAAGGUGAAAAGAACCCCGGGAGGGGAGUGAAAUAGAACCUGAAACCCUGCACUUACAAGCUGUGGAAGCACAUUUCUUGUGUGACCGCGUACUUUUUGUAGAACGGGCCAACGAGUUACGUUAAGUAGCAAGGUUAAGCACUUAAGGUGCGGAGCCGUAGCGAAAGCGAGUUUUAACUGAGCGUUCAGUUACUUGACGUAGACCCGAAACCGGGCGACCUACCCAUGAGCAGGAUGAAGCGAAAGUAAAAUUUCGUGGAGGUCCGAACCCACGAGCGUUGAAAAGCUCGGGGAUGACUUGUGGGUAGCGGUGAAAUUCCAAUCGAGCCCGGAGAUAGCUGGUUCUCCCCGAAAUAGCUUUAGGGCUAGCCUCAAGGUGAGAGAUACGGAGGUAGAGCACUGAAUGUCCUAGGGGGUAUUGCACCUACCGAAGACUAUCAAACUCCGAAUGCCGUCAUCUUAUACUUGGGAGUCAGACUGUGGGUGAUAAGAUUCAUAGUCGAAAGGGCAACAGCCCAGAUCGUCAGCUAAGGUCCCUAAAUGUAAGUUAAGUGGUAAAGGAUGUGGGAUUGCACAGACAACCAGGAUGUUGGCUUAGAAGCAGCCACUCAUUCAAAGAGUGCGUAAUAGCUCACUGGUCGAGUGAUCCUGCGCCGAAGAUUUCCGGGGCUAAAACUUACUACCGAAGCUACGGCAUCAGUAAUGAUGGGUAGGGGAGCUUCCCAUACGGGUUGAAGCAUGACCGUAAGGACAUGUGGACAGUAUGGGAGUGAGAAUGUUGGCAUGAGUAGCGAGAUGUGGGUGAGAAUCCCACAGGCCGUAAACCCAAGGUUUCCAGGGGAAGGUUCGUCCGCCCUGGGUUAGUCGGGACCUAAGCUGAGGCCGAAAGGCGUAGGUGAUGGACAACAGGUUGAUAUUCCUGUACUACCGAUAACCGUUUGAGAGAAGGGAUGACACAGUAGGAUAAGCUAAGCACACUGUUGGUUAUGUGUGCCCAAGCAUUGAGGCAGUCAAAGUAGGCAAAUCCGCUUUGAUAAUGCUGGGAUGUGAUGGGGAGCGAAAUUUAGUAGCGAAGUAGCUGAUUUCACACUGUCAAGAAAAGUCUCUAUCGAGGUUAAAGGUACCCGUACCGCAAACCGACACAGGUGGGUGAGGAGAGUAUCCUAAGGCCAGCGAGAGAACUGUUGUUAAGGAACUCGGCAAAAUGACCCCGUAACUUAGGGAUAAGGGGUGCCACCAUCAGGUGGCCGCAGAGAAUAGGCCCAAGCGACUGUUUACCAAAAACAUAGGUUUCUGCUAAGUCGCAAGACGAUGUAUAGGAGCUGACGCCUGCCCGGUGCUGGAAGGUUAAGGGGAUCUGUUAGAGCAAUCGAAGCAGUGAACUUAAGCCCCAGUAAACGGCGGCCGUAACUAUAACGGUCCUAAGGUAGCGAAAUUCCUUGUCGGGUAAGUUCCGACCCGCACGAAAGGCGUAACGAUUUGGGCACUGUCUCAACAACAGACUCGGUGAAAUUGUAAUUCCGGUGAAGAUGCCGGAUACCUGCGACAGGACGGAAAGACCCCAUGGAGCUUUACUGUAGCUUGACAUUGGGUCUUGGUACUACAUGUACAGGAUAGGUGGGAGGCUUUGAAACCAGGACGCCAGUUUUGGCGGAGCCAUCCUUGGGAUACCACCCUUGUAGUACUGGGACUCUAACCAUAGGCCAUGAAUCUGGUCUUGGGACACUGUCAGGUGGGCAGUUUGACUGGGGCGGUCGCCUCCCAAAAGGUAACGGAGGCGCUCAAAGGUUCUCUCAGUACGGUCGGAAAUCGUACGUAGAGUGUAAAGGCAAAAGAGAGCUUGAUUGCAAGACAUACAGGUCGAGCAAGGAUGAAAAUCGGACUUAGUGAUCCGGUGGUUCUGCGUGGAAGGGCCAUCGCUCAACGGAUAAAAGCUACCCUGGGGAUAACAGGCUUAUCUCCCCCAAGAGUCCACAUCGACGGGGAGGUUUGGCACCUCGAUGUCGGCUCAUCACAUCCUGGGGCUGUAGUAGGUCCCAAGGGUUGGGCUGUUCGCCCAUUAAAGUGGUACGCGAGCUGGGUUCAGAACGUCGUGAGACAGUUCGGUCCCUAUCCGUCGCAGGCGUAGGAAAUUUGAGAAGACCUGUCCUUAGUACGAGAGGACCGGGAUGGACGUACCUCUGGUGUACCAGUUGUCCUGCCAAGGGCAUGGCUGGGUAGCUAUGUACGGAAUGGAUAAGCGCUGAAAGCAUCUAAGCGCGAAGCCAACUUCAAGAUAAGAUUUCCCACCGCAAGGGUAAGACCCCAGAAAGACUAUCUGGUUGAUAGGU
rnacentral:rRNA from 1 species